ACCGCAUGUGGGGAGGGCCAUGUGGGAAUUCUCACACCUGUUGCCUAGAUGCCUGUGUCUGGUUAGAACCACUGCAUGCUUUCUUUCAGUCUACAUUGAAUACGUCUUUGCUGCUCUGGGAUCCAUCCUCCAGUCUUCAGUCAGCUAAGAAAAUGACCUGUGGGCACGUUGGCUUCCUUUCUUCGGAUUAAGUGGUUGUUCAGAGAGAGGCUGAGUCUGAUUGUUUACACAAGAAGGAAGUGAACACUGGCUGUGUGCCUGGCACUGUUAGGAGCCAUCAAACCAUGUCCAGAAAGGACGCAGGGAAAGGAGAUGUCGAUGUUUCCAGACAUUUUGUGAUGUGAAGAGAGCGCCUGAAGGUUUUUGAUGAUGCUUAACUCACGUGCUUUGCUUAAAGAACUGCAGGGACUGACCUGAAACGCUAAGCAUGGAAUCCAGGUUGCAGAACAUCCCACUCUGGAAAGAAGGCUGAGCCGUUCAUCUGUAUUCCUGUUGCAAUCAAGCUAAUGCCAGCCAGACCACCAGGUGGCCCAUUAUUCAAGACAGUCAUUGAGACUAGACAGACUGACCAGCAUGUAUUCAGCUCUUGUACAUAAUUCCCCCAGACUCCCCCUCGCAUAACACCCCUGGCCAGCCUGAGAAAUUCGAGAUGGUCUUUGUGACACUAGCCCACCAUCUCCUCAGGUUGCCAGCUCCUCAUAAACCUACUUCUCCUCCGACCAACUCUUGUGUCUCCAGUUUGGCUCUCAAGGAGCGAGCAGCCGAACCUAGGUUCAGUGACAUUUCUAAAUGCUAUGACAUACAGGCUGUAAGCACUCACAAGGCAAGCAACAUGAACUCAAUUCCCUGAGUCAUGGGAAAUGACGGGCUCCUAUGACUACCUUUGUUUAAAGUGAAAAGGAAAUACAGGUAAACUUAGAGUGCCCAGAAU